AUGCGCGGCGCCUCACCGCGGCGCCGGGAUGGACAAAGGCGGGUUUCAUCCGGCGGCGGGGCCGCGCACACAAGUCGGCCUUGUGCUGGGCUGCAGAUGUGCGGCGGGGGCGGGCAGUUUUUCGCUUCCCCGCCCUCCCGCUGUGGGGAGAGGCCGUGGGUGAGUCCGGCUCGGCGGCGGGGCCCGGCUGGGAAGGCGGCCCGGGGGAAUGAGGCGCAGCCCGGCCGGCAGGUGUCCCCGGUGGCUGGGACGUGUGCUGUGGGGCGAUUUAACAAACAAAAAUGAAUUUGGCUUGCUCUUCUGUAUGGAGACACAGAGCUUUGAGGUAAGCUAUCAGAUGCAGACCCAGCCUUCAUGAUUUUUGGAGGGAGAUACUACGGUAAGUGUCUGGUAACUUCAUGUUAAAAGAUGAGCUAAUUGGGAGAGAUUUUUAAGAUAUACAUAUAUAUAUAUAUAUAUACAUAUAUAUAUACACAUAUAAUUUAUAUAUAUAUGCACAUAUAUAAAAUAUACAUAUAUAUAAUAUAUAUAUAUUUAAUAGAAAGCAGUGUUUAAUGUUUGCUUACACAUUUAUAUAAUUGGCUACAUAAGUAAAGCAAAGUGCAUACAUUAAUAUUUAAAAACAGAACACUAACAUUCUACAGAAGGGAAAGCUGCUGCUUCUGUAAGCCACUGCAAAGUUAUAUUUGGGACAGUUACCAACAACUGUGAGAGCUAGCCAGGCUUUUCCGAGACAUCAUCCACAUAUACGCCAAACAGGAAUAGAAAGGUGUCAGUGCUUCUCUUUGUAGCAGACAGGAUCUCAGAGUGGUCUUUGCAUUGUUCCACAGUGUUGGAGAGGCAGGCAUGAUUUUGCUGAAUUAACAUGGACAGGCUCCUCUGAAACCAUUCAUAUCAAAACAAUUUCUGAAACACCAAGACAAGAAAUUAAACUGGGAUUUGGCAGAUUAAGGACAUACAAUUAUAUAAACACCCACGACAGGAGAGAAAAAUGUGAUUCAAUUAGUUUCUGUGAUUUAAGUUGGCUGCCAGAUUGUGCUUGACAAUCUAUACUCAUUCCUAAUGUCAAGCUGACCUUAAUGUGUUUUUAUCAUGAAUUCUUGUUGACAACAUACACCACCUGCACAGUGAAAUCCUGCUAUUACCACAAUCACAAAGGGUGAUUUUAUAGUACAUACAGUAGAUGGAGUUUCAUUUGGUCAUAUGGGUUUUUGUGAAAGAGCUCCAUAUUUUAUAGCUGCUUGUAGUUACUGUCAUAUACUGGACUAUGAAAUCUUGCUGAAGCGCAUUUCAAAAAUAACACUACUGUGAAUUCCAGUGCAGAAGGCACUUGCUAGCUUUUGUGAUAGUCAAACACGAGAAUAAUUUCUGUUACUGUAACAGAUGCAGCAAUGUACUUGGAAAUGUAUUUCCAUUUCCAUACAUGCCUUUCUUUGUUGGACAGGGCAUACUGUCAUGCACAUGGCCUUUUGCCUUGUAUUGGUUGGAGAAAUUUUAAAUUGUAGGAGCGAUAUGGUCGGUCCCUGACUUCCAAAAAACCUGAACAAACAGAAACUGAGAAAGUUGAAAUAGUGAGUACUGUGGGCUGUCACAAAGCUGUGUCCUAUAUAACCAAGGAAAAGGAUGAGAAAAUACCUGAGUUCUGCCAGGCUGACAGAAGGUGGAAAUGAUAUCUGCAAGUUUACAAGAAUGCCUUGGAGUAAUUGAUCUUAAUAGGAAGAAAUAGAAUGAGAAGUGUUUAUCACCCUUGGUAAGGUGAAAGUAGAUUUCAUGGGGAUAGUAAAAUAAUCUUGUGAGAAAGCAGCUGUCCUUCUUGUUGAAGCAAACAGCAAAUAGAAAUAAAGGCCAAGGAGCUGUGCA
rnacentral:lncRNA from 1 species